rnacentral:rRNA from 1 species
ACUCCUACGGGAGGCAGCAGUGGGAAUAUUGGACAAUGGGGGAAACCCUGAUCCAGCCAUGCCGCGUGUGUGAAGAAGGCCUUCGGGUUGUAAAGCACUUUCAGUGGGGGAGGAAAGGUUGUUGGUUAAUACCCUAACAGCUGUGACGUUACCCACAGAAGAAGCACCGGCUAACUCCGUGCCAGCAGCCGCGGUAAUACGGAGGGUGCAAGCGUUAAUCGGAAUUACUGGGCGUAAAGCGU